GUGAGGAAUAUUGGUCAAUGGGCGAGAGCCUGAACCAGCCAAGUAGCGUGCAGGAUGACGGCCCUAUGGGUUGUAAACUGCUUUUAUGUGGGGAUAAAGUGCGUGACGUGUCAUGCAUUGCAGGUACCACAUGAAUAAGGACCGGCUAAUUCCGUGCCAGCAGCCGCGGUAAUACGGAAGGUCCGGGCGUUAUCCGGAUUUAUUGGGUUUAAAGGGAGCGUAGGCUGUCUAUUAAGCGUGUUGUGAAAUUUACCGGCUCAACCGGUGGCUUGCAGCGCGAACUGGUCGACUUGAGUAUGCAGGAAGUAGGCGGAAUUCAUGGUGUAGCGGUGAAAUGCUUAGAUAUCAUGACGAACUCCGAUUGCGCAGGCAGCUUACUGUAGCAUAACUGACGCUGAUGCUCGAAAGUGCGGGUAUCAAACAGGAUUAGAUACCCUUGUAGUCC
rnacentral:rRNA from 1 species